CCCGGGACAGGGACUUCAAUUGGUCCACCGCUGAGACCCCUUGGUAAGCAAACUGAUGGUGGUGAUUUGGUUACCACGAUCCAGCUAAAAGCUAUGUAAACAGAGCUAUGACCAAAUAUUGCAGCGGAGAUGGCCUUCUUCAAGACCACCAUCAAAGGUGGAUCACCAUUCGGAAGACCACCUCGAGAACACAAGAUUCCACAAUAACCACGGAACAUAAAAUCGCAAAAAGUACGAAUGGUUUUCACUAACAAGGUAGAUGCUAUGGAGGACCAGAAGAGGCGUUACAACUUGAAAAUCUGCGGUAUUCUAGAUGAGGCAGGCCUCUCAGACUUAGCCCAUUAUGUCUGACGGCUGUUUAGCACACGGUUACCGCCAAGGCGGUGAAACUGGAUGGCUUGUUCCAUUUGCCAAAGCACCCUACAGCACUUGUGGCUGCUCACGCAGACUUGAUUAUCAGAUUCCAGACCCUGCAGAAUAAUGCCCUUAUUCUCUGGACCACUUGAGGAAAGACAUUUUUAGGGCUCCACUCUGACGCUGUUCCUGGAUCUCACCUGCAGCACUAUCAAACGGUGCAGAUCACUACAGCCACUGUUGCAACCCCUCCAAUCGAACGGAUUCCUGUAGGAUUGGGAAAUACACAUGCUACUUAUAUUUACCCAUUAUUGACACAGCUUACCAAGCUAUGCUGAACUGGAAACUCAUCUGAGUAAUUGGGCCACUGAAAGUGGCUGGCUCAGGACUGGCACACCCGGACCCUUCUGUAAUGGAGUUCACCCCCUCCUACGCCAAUGAGAGAUCUGAAAGGCUACACUUCAGAAUGCUACCUUUAAGGUCCUUGCCCAGCUCGCUCCUCAUACCAGUGGGGUAUUACCAUUUAGUUUUUAACUAUAUGUUCUGUUACAUGCACUUAUUUUUCCCACUGACAUACAGGCUGAGUCUACAAUACCAUGUAUGAUGCGGUUGCCUCUAGCUCUGGUAAUAAUCAGGCCUACUUCCAUGCUUAUUGGGCUGAGAUGCCAUUUCUGUUACGACACGUCAUAUUUUACUUUUCCCCCC